rnacentral:lncRNA from 1 species
CAUUAUUGCUACUUGUUAAUAUUUAAAGGACAAUGGGCCAGUAUAUGGACCCUGAGCUUUCAGACGGCCAGCGAUGAUUUUGGUACUAACGGAUGUAGUAUGGGACCUAUAUGUAAUUGCAUUAAUUGCUGUUUUGAAGCUCCCCUUGGUGCACUUUAAACCCGAAAAAAUGCAAUUUUGUUUCUGUUUCUAUCACAUAGUGUAACACAACCAAGUUACUAUGAACGCCAUAAUAAACAUUCUGCCAUUUUGGAUUGGAUAACACAACAGAGUAAAUUGUAGUAAACAAAAAUAUGUUUGCGGGGUUCUUGUAUUAUUUUAUGGUUGUUUACCUUACGAUUUCUUGUAGCAACGGACAACAAAUAGAAGGACAAAAAUGCGAGUUAAAAAUGUUCAGAAUAAUUUCAUUAAAUCGCUGAAUUUGACAGUUUACAUCCGGUAUGCCCAAAACAUCACACCACGAAACACUCAGGAGGUCAGCAACAAACAUUUCCUCAUUUAUUUUAUCUAUGGAUCUCCCAAACAUGUAUCUAGGGUGUUCCUUCGGCUUUUCAAUUAGAAUUUCUGCUAACACCAAGGCAUGAUCACUUAUAGCUGGGUUGUGGUGAAUAUUCACAGUUUUACAUAAGUCUGGUGAGUCUGUGAUUAUAAGAUCGAGAAGCUAAGAGGUCCUAUCAUUUACGCGUGUUGCAUCCUUGACAACGUUUAUUAGGCUAUGUUGUACACAGAAAGAAAUCACUUCUUGCACUGAGCUUGUAAACGGUUUAAGUAGAUCAACAUUAAAGUCGGUCAAUAAAAAUAAGUGAUCGGCAUAUGAAAAAACACUCACCGAAUCGCUGAGGGCCUCGAUGGCUGCUACAACUGGAACACUUUCCGGUCUAUAAGCUGUACCUACUAUCAGUCGCCCUCUGCCAGGUAUUGUCACUUCCAUCCAUAACUGCUCCAGUGUUGACUCGGGAUGUGGCUUGAUCCGUACUCUUUACCGUAACCCUUUCUUGACAUAGAAACCGAAACCACCACCUCGCAUGUCCUUCGGUCUGGGUUUAUGUUUCAGCGUGUAGCCAGGCAUAACGGGCGCAAACCUUUCUUCACCAUCUCUAAUCCAUGUUUCAUUUAAUGCUAGAAUAUCAGGUUUAUAAAUAUCAAUGGUAGCCAGCAAUUCAUCUUGUCCGGUAUUUAACGAUCGUACAUUAAGUAACCCCAAACGUCUUUUGAUCAAUUCAAGUUUUUUGAUCGAGUCAUUUAUAAAAGUUAUCACUAAUAGUUAUGAGAUAAAUGCAAAUAUCAUACAAUGAUUAAAACUCGUUUGAAUCAUGCGCGUCAGUCCCGUGUGCGGUGUGUCACCUAAUAUGUGUGUUUCGGAAAGUAGGCAUAUUAGUGACCUUUUUUGUGACUAUAGUUUUAUGUCUAGCAUUUCGAAGUUAUAAUGCCGGCUGACAUAAGAAUAAAACUUAGUGUUGCCUAAUUUGUACCAGCUGUGGUACCCCUAAAAUACACUAAAGAAAGAACUAUUUCCAAAGGCAGGCACACUGUUUUUUUUUAUUAAACGGUUUUAUUUAGCUCACCCCGUUUGUUUUUAUUUAUUCUUGCGUCAAAUUUAGUAAUUCAAAUUUCACCCUUUUCCUGUCAACAGAUUAAUCUGAAAUUUUGUAUACACUUUGGAUUUUGGUGACAAUACAAUUAUGUUUAUUCAUUAUCAUUAUAAAUCCAAGAUGGCGGCCACUACAAAAUGGCGGAUAACGUAGGUUUUAUCAAUCCCAUCAACAUGGGUAUCAAAUGAAAGGUCUCAACAAGUAGAAUACAAUUUACUAUGCCAAAUUGAAAUCUAAGAUAUAAGAAGAUUGCAGUUGGUCCCAACAAUAGAGGAGUUGGACUGCAAUAAA